rnacentral:lncRNA from 1 species
GAUGUUUGUCGUUAUUGAUAUGGGGACGUACAGUAUUGACAUGAACUAGUGAGUAAUCUCUUGAUUUUGCAAUAGCACCUAGGGAUAGGGUAGGACGAUCAAUUGCGCUAACUUCUGUUUAUAAUGCGGUAUUAAUUACUAGGGGAGGCUAGGGAUAGCAAGCCAGUAGUUAAUAUUAAGCCCUUUUCGCCGAGGGAUCGGGUUAAGGGGAGGCUAAGAAAGUCGCAUAACAAUUGAAUCAAUCUAAUAUUCAAGGGUANUAUGUAAGAGAGAGCGGAAUAGAUGAAAUUGUUAGUACCCAACAACAUCCAUUCCUCCAUUAUUUUCGUUUGUCAAUUGAAUCAACUUUAUUUUUGCAUGUUAAUAUAUUUUGUUCUCAAAACCAAUUUAUUAAUUUUUGUUUUUCAAGUCUUAUUAUUUUAACUCACGC